AGCACUUCCCACCCCGCGGUGGCACCCCCACUCCCGACCACCUCCCAUCCCGAGGCGGCGCCCCCACCCCUGACCACCUUCCACCCCGUGGCGGCUACCUCUCCCGUUCCCAAUGGCUCCGGGCGGCGGGCAGCUGCUCUUACCAGCCUGCUCGCACCACCCGCCCCCCGCUGUGUGCCGCCACCCGCCCCGAUCGCCGGCGACGGAUCGGAGCUGCCCGCCACCCCGCGCCUAACUAGCGGCAGAUCUGAGCCCCUCGCCACUCCACACCCAGACGACGAUGGAUCCGAGCACCCCCCGCCACCCCGUGCCCAACCGGCGGCGGUUUUGAGCACCCACCCACCCCACCCUGUGCCCAACUGGCGGCGGAUCCGAGCACCCCCACCCCCACCCCGUGCCCAACCAGCGGUGGAUCUGAGCACCCCCCACCCCCACCCCGUGCCCAACCGGCGGCUGGUCUGACCUCCUCCUCCAUUGGAAGCCCAGUUAGGAGCCCCCCACCUUCCUCCCGCCGGCCCCUCCUACUGCACCGCCCCCUACCACCUUCCUCCUACUGGCUGCCCCUCCCGUCGUGUUGGUCAUCGCCGCGUACACCGGCAUGCUAGCCUCCCUCGUCGCUCGCUUCCUUUCGAUGUUCAAGUACAGUUUCCCGCGUGCGUUGUACUACACCGGGCAUGAGGAGGCCGACGACAUGCAGAGAUGAUAUGUAGUACGCCGGCACACCAUGCAGUUAGCGCGGUGCAUGAUUGCAAAAAAUUGUGGCCGUAUUGUUUUCUUUUAUUUGUAUAGAAAAAAGCUUCAUCUCUUCAGGCACAAGUAGCCUAUUUAAUUUAGAAUAUGCAGUUCAGUGGCAUGGUAUAUUUUGCAGGUGCAGUAGGCCGCUAGGAUGUGAUCUAGGGCAGCACGCCUAGUCCUCAAUUGUUGUUCGACUAGUGAUAGUGUCGAUUUUGUGUGUAUGACUGUGUGUGUGGCUAUGUAAAAAUAAUGAAAAGAUAUAUAUGUUUUGAAGCUCA